UACAGAGGUGGCAAGCGUUGUUCGGAAUUACUGGGCGUAAAGGGCGCGUAGGCGGCUCGUCGCGUCGACCGUGAAAACCCGCGGCUUAACUGCGGGCUUGCGGUUGAUACGGGCGGGCUAGAGUUCGGUAGGGGAGACUGGAAUUCCUGGUGUAGCGGUGAAAUGCGCAGAUAUCAGGAGGAACACCGGUGGCGAAGGCGGGUCUCUGGGCCGAUACUGACGCUGAGGAGCGAAAGCGUGGGGAGCGAACAGG
rnacentral:rRNA from 1 species